GCUCCAGUAGUUCAGUGGGUUUAGAGCACGCGCUGCCGGAGAGAGUGAGAUGCGGGUUCAAGUCCCGCCUAACGCA